AUCUCUGCGUUCUCUGACCGGAGAAGGAUGCUUCCCUUUGCUUCCCAGCGGACCUCUGGGGCCUUCUUCGGGCUCCAAGCACUCUGGGCAGGAGGACCGUUGUCCGGCCGACGUGGAAAGGCUCCUUGAACAACAAAGUCUUGUCUCAUCCCAAAGGGACACAGUGCUCCUGCUGAGAAACCCUGCUCUCUUGUGCACCUACCCCGGAUAUCAUUUCAAUGAUCAUAAAUUGGAACCAAAGCUGAAUCUGGCUGACUGAGCAGAAAUGGUAUCUAUUCAAAGAACAUUGAGUAGCUCACAGAGUUUUUGACAUCAAAGAACCAAGCUUUAAACAAACUUUCCAGGAAUAACACUGAGUUCACUUGAUGAGACAUCACUGAUGCUGCUACAAUCCCUGGAGCAAUGUGGGAAGGUUUCAUAUCUGUCACUGCCUGAUUGAAGCUAGGGGACAAUCUCAAGCACCCAGAAGGCUACAAAACUCAGCGCUCUCCUUGCCCUGGGCCUGGCUCAGUCUUCUGGAUUUGGUUUCAGACUUGGCCAACAUCCCUCUACUAUCUUCCCAGCUGGUGUUCAAGAAUAGCCCCUCUCCACUGGAUUCAGGAUCCCACACUAAACCACAGCUUCCCAUCUGGGGACUUCCCUGUUCAGCUUCCUCAGACCGUCCUCUCCCCGGUUCCUGAUGAAGGCCGUCUGCGUAGAACCUGCCUCUGGACUCAGGAAGCGCAAGCCUUUCCUUCCUUCUCGAAUCGAUCUCUGAGCCCCAAGGCAGGAAGAAGAAUGCAGCAGGCAUCUGAAUCAAGGUGCGGUCAAGUUGUCCUUGCCAGAAGCAGAGUGGUGUGCUUCAGCAGUGGAUGGAGUGAGAAGUGAGGUCAAGAAGAUUGGAAGUGAAGGAGUUCCAGUGUCUUCUGAGGGGUCCGUGCAUGCAUUAGCUGAUCACUCACGGCUGGUCUUUCGUGCCCGUGGCUUUGUUCACACGCAGAUGCUCCUAAGAUCACGAGGACCCCCUGCAGCGAAACCUUGACCAUUCCUUCAGCAAAUGUUGUGAAAUUCAUUGAACUCAGUGAAACUCAAUAACAGUUUCUAUGGGGAUGUUUAAUUUCAACACAGUAGAUGCUCAGUAAAAGUCCGUACCUCCUUCCCCCCCCAUAAAUUUCCCUCUUAAUAAAUGGGUGUAUAAUAAAGAUCCCUUUGACUGAGGCACUUAUUUACAUAUGUGGCUUUCCUGUAUUGAGUUUGAUAGAAAGGUUUAAUUUCAAUAAAAUGAGGUCAUUUUAUUAUUUAUAUGAUGCCAGAUAAUCAGCUUUCCGAAUAAUCAGUUUUAGCUGAUUUUUAAACCUUUUUUGUCAACAGUUGUUUGAAUGUCAAUUAAAAGAAGCCAUAGAGCACAGAAUGGAAAUUACCAUCAUCAUAGUGGCAUUUGGUGUAUAAACAAUUAGAUGCAUUUAAUCCCUAAAUUAAACAAGCAGGAACUAUUAGAUCAAAUAUACUGCAAACCAAAAUAACAUGACAGAUAUGAUUUAUGUAUGAAACCUAUGGGAGGUGAUGUAUUUUUAAAUUGUCUAUCAUCGAUGCUAUAUUAAAUUAAAACGUGUCAUUUGUGGUAUUUUAAUCUUUAUAUAUUUUAUUCCAGCUUUUGUUUUGACAUUCAAUCUUGAUGCCUCUUCCUUCAACUCAGAAAUAUACAGCAUCCACUUUCAGAGGUUAGCUGUAGUUUAGUACAAUGCCUUACAAAUAUCAUAGUGUGAUUUCCUGAAUGCCUCCAGUUCAUGGGGGAAAAUUAUGUUAAACAUUGCAUUUCAUUCUUUCGAAUGCUGGCAGUCUGGCAUAGUAUGAGAAAUAUGUUUGGGCUCAACGUUUAUCUUAGUGUAAAAUGCAGUGUAAUUAACCUUUAGACUUGAAAGGAGUUUUACUCCUGUUCAAGAAUUUGUUCCAGUUACCCAACCAAAGAGUAGAACUUAAGAAGUGUGUAUAACCUGCUACUUUUCUAUGAACAGCAAGUUAUAAUUAUUGUUUGCCUUGCACAAAAAUAUACACAUCCACGCACACAUCUGCACCAUAAUUUGUGGGUCUUUUAUGUCUAUCAGACACCUGUCCCCACUCAGGAAUCCUUCUUCUCAGGUUUUACAUUUCCAAACCCUGGGUUUUAAGCCAAUUAUUCUUCACUGAUUUGACUAGCGUACUAAAAAUCAGAAGUUAAAUACAAAAGGACCAAUACGUCUGAAAUGCUUUUCUUUCUUUAAAUAUUCACUUUAAAAGUUUUGCUCCUUGGACAUAUUAAUACCCUAACAGGUACUGACUCUUCAAAAGAAAUCUUUUAUAUACAAAACAUCAAUUUCCAAACUUUAUUGCUCAUGAAGCUUUUUUUACUUUUAAUUUUUUAAAUGAAGCAUCCAAUAGGCCUGUAGAACCUACUAGCACUUGAAUUAAAUGAACUCAGCUUUGCAUCCUGGUUCCAAAAUUUAGUUGUGAGCAUAUUUCUUAAUAUCAUUCAACACUAGCAUUUCCUAAGGAAAGAGAACUGAUUGUAAACUUUAUUCCCUCGGGUUGGUGUGGAAAUUAAAUAAUACAUGUAAAAUAUUUAUCAUAGUUCCACGUGGUAACUGCUUAAUACAUUUCAGCUAUUCUUCUUCAUCUUUUUUUAUUUUAUCUUUUGUCUUUUUAGUGCCAUACCCACGGCAUAUGGACGUCCCCAGGCUAGGGGUCGAAUCGGAGCUGUGGGUGCUGGCCUACGCCACAGGCACAGCAAUGCAGGAUCUGAGCCGUGUCUGCGACCUACACCACAGCUCAUGGCAACACCAGACCCUCAACCCACUGAGCGAGGCCAGGGAUCGAACCUGAGUCCUUAUGGAUACUAGUUGGGUUCGCUACCCCUGAACCACAACGGGAACUCCAUUUCAGCUAUUCUUAUUAUUAAUCUAGCCUUUUUCAUUAUAUUUUAAAUAACAGUAUCUGAGAGACUUCCCCAAGUCUUUUUAGAAUACAUUAACUCCAAAGAACUUCUUGUAUUCUUUCUUAUGAAAUGAAGGACUGCAUUUCCUUCCAGGAAUUAAUACUUACCUCAACUAGCCUCUGUCAAGUGACUAAUCAAAGCAGAAAUACGUUUGUUAUGUCUUUUCUUUCUCUCUGCCCAGAUUCCAGAGGCUGAAUGGAAGCAGAACUGGGAACACGGGUGGGAAGAUAAAUGUCAGGCUUCAAAUAGUGAGAUUGUAGUGUUAUAUGAAUAGAUUCAUUAUCUUAAACUUGCAUUCAUUUAUAAUUGUUUGGGAAGACUGAUCCAGCCCACAUCCUUAUUCUUGGAAUUGCAUGAUCAGAAUUUCCAAUCUAUUCUAUUUCCUUCUCAAAAAGGAAAAAUCAUCCAAAUUCACACUGCCCCAAAAUGCUAUCUAUUUUAAUAGCAACAUUUAUAUUCAGGGAUCUCAAUAAAAGAAUUCCAAUAAAAACAUAUCAGCAACUACCAGUCCUUAAUCUGGAUGCCUCAAUUAAAAUUUAAUUGCAUGGAGUUAAUAAAUAUGCCUGCUUUUGUUUCCUAACUGCCUUUCAUGGAAAAAUCCAAGAGCCAUCACAAUUAUUUAUCCAAAUUUUCAUUAAUAAAUGUAACAAAAAUACAGUUACGCUACAAUUAAUACAUUUUAUGAUCACAUAACAACAUGAACAAAUGCAAUACAUCCAUAUCAAAUCAAUAUUUCUCUUAGCUAAUAUACAUAUGAUGAUUCUAUUGAAUUCAUGUUUGGAUACCACCAAAUUUAUAAUCAAAUGAUACUCAUCAAAAGGUCAACUAAAUUAAAUGUCAAUUGCAGUAUACAUGUGGAUGGAAUAAGACAAGUUUGUUGAAUUAAAUGUAAUGUAAAUUGUUCCUAACCCAUUAUUCCAUCUUUACAAAUUGUGUCUCAGUCCAGAGUUUUUGUGCUAUAGUCUCUACCCAGAAACCUAAUAAUGAACACAUUUGUCGAAAUUCAUAGUAAGCUGUACUGUAAAAUAUUUAGACCCAUGUCACUAACAUCCUGAUUCAGUACACAAACAGUGUAGAUUUUAUAAUAUAAACAUCAAUUCAAUAAUCUUUAGAUUAAAAAAAACUUAAUUUCAUACCAAGGAGCUUUAUUAUUUUUUCUUUAUAUUGAAACUACAUUUUUAUUUGUUUAAUUUUUAAAUGUAUUUACUUAUUUAUUUGCUUUUUAGGGAUACACGUGUGGCAUAUGGAAAUUCCCAGAUUAGGGAUCAAAUCAGAGCUGCAGCUGCUGGCCUGUACCACUGCCACAGCAAUGCAGGAUACAAGCCUCAUCUGUGACCUACACCACAGCUCACAGCAGUGAUGGAUCCUUAACCCACUGAGUGAGACCAGGGAUCAAACCCACAUCCUCAAGGAUACUAGUCAGUUUCAUCACCUCUGAGCCACAGUGGGAACUCCCGAAACUUCUUUUUCAAAUUGUAAACUUUCCAAUACAAAUAAGAUUUAAAUGUAAUGUUACUCAAAGCAUAUCUAAAUACUGUUAUUACACAUUCUCUCUCACACACACUUCAAAUUGAAGUUAACCCUUAAUGAACUGAUUAGUUCCUUAUCAUUUCUUAAAAAUAUAAAUAUAUUUUCAAUUACAUUUCUUUUCCAUUUUUUUCCUACUGUUUUUAAUAAAUCCAAUAAGUCUAGUUCUUGGGCUUGAUAUCAUUAUUCAGGUUUUCAUCUUCAAGAAUUACUUUCCUUAAAGUUUCUCAAUCAGACACUGCCUUCAGUAUCUGCAGAAUUCAAUUUCAGCAUCCUUAGCAAGUGUGCCCUCUUCUUGUUCCUCUCUUUGUAGGGUUACAAGGCCUCUUUAGAAUUUCACAUGGGGCUUUGUAUUUCUAAUGUAUUUGUAAGAUAAUUAACUACACAUGAUAAACUAUGGUAUAAAUUAUCAUUUAAUUUUGCUUUCAGAUCCUAAUAUCUAAACGUUUAUUGUCACCUGAAGAUACAGCCCUCUCAUUGCUGUUCUAAGCCAUUUAUUCACUUCCUUCUUCGAGAUUCCCCAAAGCAUUGAAGCACCUUCCAUGAAAUCAUUUUUGCCUUUACCCUUGAUAGUGGGGGUUACCUCCCAGGUCCUGGUUCUCUGAGUUAGUGACUUUAGCACAAGAGGCACUGCCCUCCUGCCUUCUCCCCAACAGCUUUGCAUCCUUCUUAAAAACUUCAACAUCCACAAGGAGGAUCCACCCAACACAUGUCACUGACUCAUCAGUUCCUGGACCUACUUUGUUCUUUUUUCUCAAAUUCACUCUAGACAUCCUACUGCGUAUCUCCUCAUGACCAGUGCCUAUGCCAGCUUUUAAAUCUUGAUCUUUAUUUUGUUUUAUUUUUUCAUUU
rnacentral:lncRNA from 1 species